rnacentral:rRNA from 1 species
UACCAGCACCCCGAGUGGUCGGGACGUUUUAUUGGGCCUAAAGCAUCCGUAGCCGGUUCUACAAGUCUUCCGUUAAAUCCAGCUGCUUAACAGAUGGGCUGCGGAAGAUACUAUGGAGCUAGGAGGCGGGAGAGGCAAGCGGUACUCGAUGGGUAGGGGUAAAAUCCGUUGAUCCAUUGAGGACCACCAGUGGCGAAGGCGGCUUGCCAGAACGCGCUCGACGGUGAGGGAUGAAAGCUGGGGGGAGCAAACAGG